rnacentral:rRNA from 1 species
UACGGGGGGGCAAGCGUUGUUCGGAAUUACUGGGCGUAAAGGGCUCGUAGGUGGCCAACUAAGUCAGACGUGAAAUCCCUCGGCUUAACCGGGGAACUGCGUCCGAUACUGGAUGGCUUGGAUUUGGGAGAGGGAUGCGGAAUUCCAGGUGUAGCGGUGAAAUGCGUAGAUAUCUGGAGGAACACCGGUGGCGAAGGCGGCGACCUGGGUAGAUACUGACGCUGAGGUGCGAAAGCGUGGGGAGCAAACAGG